GACCUCGGAUCAGGUAGGGAUACCCGCUGAACUUAAGCAUAUCAAUAAAGCGGAG
rnacentral:rRNA from 1 species